AGCGCACCCUCGUUUUUAGUUGCCAUCAUUAAGUUGGGCACUCUAGAGAGACUGCCGGUGACAAACCGGAGGAAGGUGGGGAUGACGUCAAGUCAUCAUGCCCCUUACGCCUUGGGCUACACACGUACUACAAUGGCCGGGACAAAGAGUCGCAAGCAUGCGAAUGCAAGCUAAUCUCAUAAACCCGGUCUUAGUUCAGAUUGCAGGCUGCAACUCGCCUGCAUGAAGGCGGAAUCGCUAGUAAUCGCAGGUCAGCAUACUGCGGUGAAUACGUUCCCGGGCCUUGUACACACCGCCCGUCACACCAUGGAAGCUGGUCACGCCCGAAGUCGUUAUCUCAACCCGCAAGGGAGGGAGGCGCCUAAGGCAGGGCUGGUGACUGGGGUGAAGUCGUAACAAGGUAGCCGUACCGGAAGGUGCGGCUGGAUCACCUCCUUA
rnacentral:rRNA from 1 species